rnacentral:rRNA from 1 species
CAUGCCCGGGUGCUUAUACAUGUAGUCGAACGGUGCGUUAGAAAUAACGUAUAGUGGCGAACGGGUGAGUAACGCGUAGGUGACCUGCCCCAAAAUGGAGGAUAACAGGACGAAAGUCUUGCUAAUACUGCGUAAUCUUUAUCUAGUCAGAGAGGAUAAAGGAAAGCCGAGAGGCGUUUUGGGAGGGGCCUGCGACCCAUCAGCUAGUUGGUGGGGUAAAAGCCUACCAAGGCAACGACGGGUAGGGGGCCUGAGAGGGUGAUCCCCCACACUGGCACUGAAACACGGGCCAGACACCUACGGGUGGCAGCAGUAGGGAAUAUUGCACAAUGGGCGGAAGCCUGAUGCAGCAACGCCGCGUGCACGAUGAAGGCCUUCGGGUCGUAAAGUGCUUUUCUGUAGGACGAGAGAGGACGGUACUGCAGGAAUAAGGAUCGGCUAACUACGUGCCAGCAGCCGCGGUAACACGUAGGAUCCGAGCGUUAUCCGAAUUCACUGGGCGUAAAGCGCUUGCAGGCGGCAAGGUAAGUUGGAUGUAAAAUCUUCUGGCUCAACUGGGAGGUGCCGUUCAAGACUGCCUGGCUAGAGGGCGAUAGAGGGAGGUGGAAUUCCCGGUGUAGUGGUGAAAUGCGUAGAUAUCGGGAGGAACACCAGAGGCGAAAGCGGCCUCCUGGAUCGCAACUGACGCUGAGAAGCGAAAGCUAGGGGAGCAAACGGGAUUAGAAACCCCGGUAGUCCUAGCUGUAAACGAUGUAGACUAGGUGUUGGUGGAGUAAAAUCUAUCAGUACCGCAGCAAACGCGUUAAGUCUACCGCCUGGGGACUACGGCCGCAAGGUUAAAACUCAAAGGAAUUGACGG